NNNNNACCGACCCCAUUUCUGAAUAUGUCCAUUAUUCAUUGUUUGUGAACGUGUCCAUUGUCCAUUAUUACAAGCAGGCUGGAUUGUGCAUCGGCUGACCAUGGCCACUGUCUAACAAAAACUCCUCUAUCUACAAAAACUGUCAACGUGUAUCAAUGAAAAUUCCCAGAAAAUUCUCAAGAUUUGUCUCAAAUCCCAUGUGGGAGGGGAGAGGGCAGAGGUGACAGCAGCGAUGUACCCGAUGAUGUCAUCACCCUCAAUGACAUCACAGCAGUGACAUCACUCUCCCCGCAGCAGCCUCGGGAUGUCCUCGAUGGCUUCUUGGCACUUCUGGGCCACUGUGCGGCCAUCAGAGCCACCAGGGCCAUCAGAGCUUCCAGGGGGCUUUGUGAGGAGCCUGCUGAUGUCCCCAAGUAUCCCCAGCAGAUGACGCGUGGCCAGGCGGGCGCUGGCCUCCCACAGCCGCUCGGCCUCCGCCACCUUGGCCACCAAGGCCCGGAGGACAUUGGGGGACGCCUCAUUUGUCCCCUGCAGGAUGGCCUCAAUUUCUUCAAGCCGGUGGUUCAUCUCAAAGACAAAAUACCUGGCUCUUUCACACGCAACCACCAAGCGCUCCAGUGGCCCCAGAGCCACCUGCGAGCGCUGUCCUCUCCUGGUGGCUGCCUCCUCCUCCCUGGUAGCCCCGUCCUCCUUGCUGGUGGCCAUCUCCUCCUCGCUGGCAGCCUCCUCCUCUUCACUGGCAACCUCUUCCUCCUUGCUGGCAGCCUCCUCCUCCAACUCCUUGUCAGUGGCCGCUGCCACCCGGGCAUUGGACACGGCCCCCACCGAGGCCACCUCCUCCCUGUCCAGGGCCAUAGGUGGCUGCUGGGCUGUGGCCAGCUGGUUGUCCCCACCUGUGUCCCUGUGGGUGGCCUCAUCCUGCAGGUCCCCAGCCUGGGCGGUGGCCUCAGUGGUGGCAUCGGUGGUGGCCUCAUCCCCACUGGCCUCAUCCUCACUGGCCUCGUCCUCACUGGCCUCAUCCUCACUGGCCUCAUUCUCACUGGCCUCGUCCUCACUGGCCUCGCAGAACUCAGAGGCCUCCCAGGCCAGGAAGUACCAGCUCUCUCCAAGCAUGUCCACCCUGCCCCGCCAGGCCGUGGCCGCGUCUCUCACUUUGGCCCAGGUGUCCUCUGGGGUGGACCCAAGGGUGGCCAGGGCCCGGCCCAGGGAGAGGACACUGAUGUAGCUCGAGGAGGUGACACCACCGUGGUUCAGGGCAUCCCAGAGUCUCCAGGCAAAGCUCCUCAGGGACUCUGGGGUCACGCGCUGCUGCUCGUCCCUCUGUGGCCCGGUCACGGUGGCCGCCACCUUGCCCAGGGUCGCUACUACGUCCACCAGAGCCCACAGCAGCUGGGAAGAGGAUGGCUGGGCAGGGGACAGGGGAGGUGUCAGGGACCUUGUGGCACUUGUGGCCUCCUGCUCUGGCCCCUGUGCCCUGCUGGGGUGCCCUUUGUGCCCUCCCUGGAGGGCUCUGCUGUCCCCUCUGUCACUUGGCCACCUCCUCUUCCCCUCUGCCACUCCCUGCCACCCUCCUGCUGUCCCCUCUGCCACCCUCUG
ensembl:lncRNA